UCCUGGAAGCAGUCCGUCCAUGGGCUUAGCGUAUCCGGGACUUGAUCUGUCCAGGAAGCGUCUUUUCAGGAUAGCUAGCUAAUUAGUUAUGUUGUAAUGCUAACCAAAACUUUCCCUUUCGUCACUUUAUUUGCUUUAUUUUGCUUUUUUACUGUAACUAAGCGUAUUAUUACCAUGUCGCUUAUGUCACAGGGGGUGCAUCAACUUAGGUUACACGACACCAACUUCCCGCUAUUUAACUUUCUCUAUCCCGUCGUGUUUUAGUUGGUUUCUUUACGCGCGCGCCCGGCUUCUGCUUGCCCUGGUUCCCGCCCUACAGCCAAUAAUAAUCCAGAACCAAUGACGUGACAUUUUAACGGCCAAUAACUUAUUAAAGACAAAUCUCUUCCGUUGUCUCAAGCUCAUCGUUAAAUACAAAUGGACUGAAAGGUCAAGGAAGGUUAAGGAGAGUGAUUAUUACCGUCCCAUGACACGGUGCAUGCGAUACCAAAAGUCACAAAGGUUCCCAUGGUGCUGACUGUAGUGUAGCUGAACUUGGACAUGGAGGCUCCUGUUGCCAUACCAUCCUCCUCGUUGUCCCGAAGCCCGCGACGCCGAUGACGUUGGCACGGCGCAGAGCAGCACGAGAAGGUGGAGAGCAGGGCCUUGCGGAAGCGUGUGUUCAUGAAGCAGUAAAUGAUCGGGUUGACGCAGGCAGAUGUGUAAGACAGCAAGUGGAUGAACGCGAUGGGGGGCCCUGAGAGGAGGCGCUUGGCUGAGGUGUCGUCGAACGCUCGCCAGGUGUUGGCACAGUACAGGGGCAUCCAGCAGAGGAAGAACAGGACGACGAUGACCACCAGCAUGCGGAUGACUCGCUUCUUAGCCUCCAGUUUGGCCUCGGACGUGUUGCUGCGCGGCCGCUCUGCCUUGAUCGCCCUGCUCGACGCAGCCAUAGUGGACAUCUCCAUCGAGUGCGGCCUCUGGACGACGUUAACAUAGCAACCGUCUCCAUCGUCACUGCCGCUGGACACAGUGGAGACAACCUCAACCUCGCUCUCUCCAGCCAAACAGAUGGUGAUGUCCAAGCCAGCAGCUGUCGGCCAAUUCCAUCCCCUAAUGGACCACCAGUGAACACACGCCACGCUGCUAUCAGCCCAGACGUGCUGUCCUACUGUAUGUCUACAAAAGGUUAUGUGUCAGUUAACCUGCACACAUUACAGUGAUUGUGAUUGCACUAACAAAAUCAUUGUGAUUAAAAUUAAAUUGCUAUUGGAAGAAAUAUAAAGAGGCUGGUUGGUAGUGCAGUAAAUAAACUGUGUGAAGCCAACACUGUAGCACGUUUCUACACACACUGUGUUACACAAAUGAGUUGUUCCGUCUAAUAAAAACGCUAUUUGUGUCCACAUUUGUAACGCGCUUGACACAACUGUCCUCAUAAUAUUGACAUUCAAGUCUUGUGUGACUCAUACUUGAAAAUGAUUUCUCUUUUUUAUUUCCUCUGAGAACCCUCUCAGGUCAUGGCUCCAAAAGGUUCGGCACAAAUACCCUUAUAACCAAAUCAGUCAGUGUUGAUGAGACAAGGUGACACAUUGACACAGCACUGGUGAAAAUGUUUUGUUGAGUCAUUGCGAGAAUUAGCCAUGUUUCACUGCUUUACCCCUUCACCUCUGAGACAUGAAUCAAGGUUUUACACUGUUGGUUUCUCUGCAGCAUAUUAUCCACGUGUACUGAACCACUGGACUUACCA